rnacentral:lncRNA from 1 species
GUUAAAAUCCAUUGAAUUUUGGGAUGGUGAGGAGAAAUAUAAUGGUAAAAGCAUGUCUAAAUAUACGAAUAUAGAUAACAAUAUAUUUGAGAAAAUAGAUGAUGAUUGUCAUGUUGUGUUAAUUUCUAAAGUGUAAUAUGUUGAUUUCAGGAGGAAUUUCUUGGAUUCAAGAAAGUAUGUAUGUGACUGGAUCCUACACAACGACAACGUGAAAAGAUUCAAGCGUGGAAGAUUUUGGAUUGUUAUAGGAUUUGAUUUGUAUGUACAUAUUUUGAUUGUAUGGGCCUAUAACACACAUUAUAUGCUUUGAUUUGUAUGUACAGAUUUUUAUUACAAUACAAUUCUAGUUUUGAUGAAUAAGUAUUGAUCAAUUUGAUUUAAUUUACCUUGAUUGUGUUUUUGCCUGACAUUUUGCACUUUUUGUGAUGGAUGAUUGCCUUUAUUCAGUACAUUGUUGAUUCAGAUGAGUUUGUGAGUUCUUUAGCUAUUCUUACCUUUUUUUGAAAUGGUUGAGUGAGUUUAUUGAGAACGGAUAUGUUCCCUGAACUAAUUAGCAUGUUAGGUCAUUCAAUUUAGGAUGACUAUAUUAUUUUUUAUGAUUAAUGUAAUAUGGUAUCAUUGUAAUGAACAUGGUUAAUAGUAAUGGAAUAUAAUGAACCUAUGUGGUCAUCAUCGAACGUUAAAUUGUUUUACCAUUAUUGCACUUAAAAAACAAUCACUCACCUUCAACUCACUCACUCAUCUAAAAAAUGGAAAAAAUAACCAAAAACAUAGCAAAACCCUUCAUGGAAAGCGUUGUUCAUCUAGUUGGAGAGUAUAAUUGAAGUUUCUGUAGAAAUGACCCUCUGGCCUUUGGUAAUCAACUACAAGACCUCUACACAACGUUGUUGUGUUGUUCAGUAACCUCAUUCUACUACUCAAUCACAUCAUCCUGAUCAUCAAGACCAACAAAUAUGCAGCUUCUCCCAAGUUCACCAUCACGAUCCAUUCUACAAGCAAAUGUCGUAGGUUUUCUUUUGGCUUCACGUUAUGCAGAACUAUCACCCCAAUAUGUAGAGACACCUCAUGUUCUUGCUAUUUCAAUGACAAAUAAAUUCAAACAAAGAUUAAAACCAAUACACAUAACAAUUUAAAGAGAUUAAAGAGAAUAAAUACACAAAACAAUAAUACAUAAACCCUAAACCAUAAUAAAUAAUUAAACUCUAAACCUUAAACCAUAAACUUUAAACAAGAAUACACAAAAAUCAAUAAAAUUAAAAGAAUAAAUAACAAAAAACCAUAAGUCAUUAACAAAGAUUAAAACCAUUUCACAUAACAAAUAACUAAAUUUAAAGAGAUUUAAGACAAUAAAUACAUAAAACAACAACACAUAAAUCCUAAACUCUAAAUGAUAAACUCUAACUAAGAAUAAACAAAAAUCAAUAAAAUUUAAAAAAAAAUUAACAAAACCAUAAACCAUUAAAAAUAAAUUAAAACUAAUUUUUUAAAAAUUAAAUAUAUAUAUAUAUAUAUAUAUAUAUAUAUAUAUAUAUAUGAUUUCAAAAUUCAGUAUUUAAUUAGAUUUUUAAAAAUUAAUAUGUAUUUAACUAAAUUUUAAAAUUGAUAGACUUCUAAUCAAAUUUUUAAAUUCUAUAAUUUCUUUGUGGAUUUCGAAAUCUUGUGUAUGAUGAAAAGAGGAUCUGUGUUGAUAUUGCAGUGUAGGGAACGACGGAAAGGAAAAAAUUCUUUUAAUAAUUUUUUUUACAAUGUGUGUUUGUUUGUGAUUGGUUCGUUUUAAACAUUUUUUUAAGGAAAAAGUUUUUGAGGGGUACUCCCUCCACCUCUCCAUUUUCUUCUUCUACCUCCCCAAAUUUUUUUUCAUUUUUUCUUAUUACAAAAAUAACCAUUUUCUUUUCCUUUUUUACCCUUUUAAACUUUUAACUCUCAACCCUACUUUAUUCUCUCUCCCUGCUUACAGCCCACCUCCCCCACUCCAUCUUCCUAAGCUUUUCAAUCAACUCUGCAAGAGACACUCCUCGCCAAAAAACAAAAGCCAUUGAAGUCAAAGUGGACCUAAUAAUAAUUACAUUCUGAAAUCCUGAAUCCCAAUCUUGAAUCCCAAUUCUCACUCACUCAAUUUUUUUUUCUCUCGCCGGAGAAAACUCUCAGUCCGAUCUCCCAAGUUUUUCUUUCCGGUAGCAUAGCAGUUUGAAAGGUUCUGUUUUUCCGGCGAGGAGUAUUUGAUUUUUUGGUGAUUCUUUGGUGAAUUGAGUUUGGGGGAGUUCUCGAUAUUGACCUAAAGCAAAGGUCUUUACUCAAAAUAUUCUCUGGGUUCGGUUUCUUUUUCUAUUUUUGCGGUGGGUGGACCGACAUACUGCUGGGUUCUUUACUCAAGACAUAGGUUAACUAACCUUCCUCCUUCACACCAUGGUGCUGGGUCUGCAACUUUUCUACAAGGACAAUUGUGUGACGGUCAAGUGUGUGCCUAAUUCCAUUUUCAUGUUCGGAGGCACCAUUGAGAUCCUGAGUAACGGAGGUUGAAAUCCGUUUUCAACUUAAACGGAAGUUCACAUUUGUUUUUAUCUUAAGCGGACGUUGAUAUCUGUAGAAGAAGAAGGUUUUUAUUUAUAAAAUUUUAACUUUAUAAACAAAUUUUUACGGGAUAAAACAAGAAUAAGAAAAUAUAAUGAAGGGUAAAAAAGAAAAGGGGAGGUGGAGGAAACAAUUGGGGAGGUGCAGGGAGUAACACCCAAAGUUUUUUUAACAAUUUUUUUUACAAUUUUUUGAUAACGCAUACGUGACAGUUUAUGAUUGGUCCGUUUCAAAUAUUUUUUUAAAUAUAAAUUCAUACAAACUAAUAAAAAAUGAUGACAUGUGUACUUUUGUCAAAAAGAGUUACCAAAAUAUCAUCAUUUUUUUUAAACAUAAAUACAAAUAAACCCAUACAAUAAUGACACCUCUACUGUUGUUAAAAAAAUUAUAAAAAAAAAUAUUAUGAUCCAUAAAUAUAAGAAAAGAGAAAAGAAUUUACCUUUGAAGUCCCAGUCGAAGUCGAAGUCGAAGGGUUCAGAAAUUAGGAUCCGGUUAUUUUGACACCAUAGAAUUGACACUCAUUUGACACUGCCACGUGUCAGGACGCUAUUGGCCAUUUCCUUUUUUUUUUUUUUUUUAAAAUUGGUUUGAAAAAUGCAGAGUUUUAGACAGUUUUUGUCUUCCUUUUUUACCCCUCACCAUUUUGAGUUUGAAAGUGAGGUUUCUGUCGUUUCUCUCUCACAUUUUCUCUCAUUUCGAUCCCUCUCUCACAGUUAUCGUCGUCUCCCUUGCUCUUCACUGGUGUGAAAUGGCAAGUUCCGGAAUCGAGCAUCGGUGGACGAAGGUAAGUUCGUUGAUUGUGGGUUUGGGUAUUUGGAUUUGUGUUUGGGUAUUCGUUUAUAGGUUUGGGUUUAGGGUUUUUUUUGUGUUUUCUUGUGGGUUGUGUAUGGUGUUUGUUUGUUAUUUGAUUUGGAUUGUUAUUUUGUUAUGGACAGUUGAGUGUGCGUCAUUCAUUUUCAACCAUGUAUAU